rnacentral:misc_RNA from 1 species
AACAAGGCGUACCUGCGGACCUGCGGAGGGAUCAUUACCGAGUGCGGGUCCCCUCGCGGGGCCCAACCUCCCACCCGUGUCUACCGUCACCUGUUGCUUCGGCGGGCCCGCCUUCGUGCCGCCGGGGGGCCCUCUGCGCCCCCGGGCCCGCGCCCGCCGAAGACUCUAGGAACACUGAAUGAAGGAUGCCGUCUGAGUCAAACGACACAAUCGUUAAAACUUUUAACAACGGAUCUCAGA